UACGAAGGGGGCUAGCGUUGCUCGGAAUUACUGGGCGUAAAGCGCACGUAGGCGGCUUUCUAAGUCGGGGGUGAAAUCCUGGAGCUCAACUCCAGAACUGCCUUCGAUACUGGAAAGCUCGAGUCCGGGAGAGGUGAGUGGAACUGCGAGUGUAGAGGUGAAAUUCGUAGAUAUUCGCAAGAACACCAGUGGCGAAGGCGGCUCACUGGCCCGGUACUGACACUGAGGUACGAAA
rnacentral:rRNA from 1 species